rnacentral:rRNA from 1 species
GACGAACGCUGGCGGCGUGCUUAACACAUGCAAGUCGAACGAUGAAGCCGGAGCUUGCUCGGUUGAAUUAGUGGCGAACGGGUGAGUAACACGUGAGUAACCUGCCCUUGACUCUGGGAUAACUGCGGGAAACUGUAGCUAAUACCGGAUACGACCCUCGGAGGCAUCUCCUGGCGGUGGAAAGAAUUUCGGUGAAGGAGGGAGUCGCGGCCUAUCAGCGAGUUGGUGAGGUAAAGGCUCACCAAGGCGAUGACGGGUAGCCGGCCUGAGAGGGUGACCGGCCACACGGGGACUGAGACACGGCCCAGACUCCUACGGGAGGCAGCAGUGGGGAAUAUUGCACAAUGGGCGCAAGCCUGAUGCAGCAACGCCGCGUGAGGGAUGACGGCCUUCGGGUUGUAAACCUCUUUUAGUAGGGAAGAAGCGAAAGUGACGGUACCUGCAGAAAAAGCACCGGCUAACUACGUGCCAGCCGCCGCGGUAA